UACAGAGGUCUCAAGCGUUGUUCGGAUUCAUUGGGCGUAAAGGGUGUGUAGGUGGCGCGCUAAGUCGGGUGUGAAAUUUCGGAGCUUAACUCCGAAACUGCAUUCGAUACUGGCGUGCUUGAGGACUGGAGAGGAGACUGGAAUUUACGGUGUAGCGGUGAAAUGCGUAGAUAUCGUAAGGAAGACCAGUGGCGAAGGCGGGUCUCUGGACAGUUCCUGACGCUGAGGCGCGAAAGCGUGGGGAGCAAACAGG
rnacentral:rRNA from 1 species